GUGAAUCAUCAAAUUUUUGAACGCAAAUUGCACUUCCCGGCAUCCCGGGAAGUACUCCUGUUUGAGGGUCAGUAUUAAUACAUAAUCGGUGUAGCUACAAAUUGUGACGCUUCCGGAGUUUGGUCUAUCUUAACAUUUUUGGUUACGAGGCUUAAAAUUGACCUGUUUUGCGCAUUUUUAAACGUACAUAAAUUUUUUUUAUUCGUCUAUUUCUAUUGCUAAAAUCUUAUUAGAUCAGAUCACAUCGUGUGG
rnacentral:misc_RNA from 1 species